rfam:Picea glauca, whole genome shotgun sequence.
AUGUACAUUCCUAUAGAAUAGUGUUAAUGCAUCAGAUCCCAUUAAAACUUCAUAGUUAAACUCACUCAGGCUAGAGUAGUGCUUGGAUGGGUGACCGCCGAGGAAGUCCUAGGAUUUUACAUG